GCCCUCGUAGCUCAGGGGAUAGAGCAGCGGCCCUCGGAGCCGUGGUCGGGUGUUCGAGUCACUCCCGAGGGCA
rnacentral:tRNA from 2 species